CAAGUAGACCGGGUGACCGCUCUGGUUUGGUAUUAAGAAUCAGGGAGGAAAGUCCGAGCUCCACCAGGCAGGGUGCUGGGUAACGCCCAGGAGGGGUGAUCCUACGGAAAGUGCCACAGAAACAUACCGCUCUUUACUUUAAGAGUAAGGGUGAAAUGGUGAGGUAAGAGCUCACCAGCGGCUAGGUGACUAGUCGGCUGGGCAAACCCCGCCCGGAGCAAGACCAAAUAGGGGCAAAGGGACGCCUGGCCUUAACCCCGGGUUGGUCGCUUGACCUCGAUGGUAACAUCGAGGCUAGAUGGAUGGUUACCGCCCUGACUUUGUCAAGGCACAGAACUCGGCUUAUAGGUCUACUUGGCCU
rnacentral:RNase_P_RNA from 1 species